UUUUUUUUUUUUUUUUUUGGUUUUACCACCGGUGCCCGGUACCCACUUUGGAGCCUGACUAUAUCCGGAUUCGCACCGCGUAGGCCCCCAUUAGAGGGAAGCGUUCCCUACCAAGGAUUUUUCCAUACUGGGGCUCGAACCCGAGACAUCUGGUUAAGGAAAGAGUAGUCUCAGCCGCUGCACCACAUCCUUUGGUGGUAAUACCCUCCGUGUUGCCUUAGGAGCUGUUUAGAAAUAGUUUUUUUUCUUCCUUUUUUCCGAAAAAUAUUUUCAAACCAGUUUUUGGUGAUAUAUUUAACUUAAUUUUUGAAGAUGAGUUUCAAAAAAAUUUGAAAAUGAGUUUUAAUUUUGAAAAAGUGAUUUUUGCCUCUUUUUCAAGUAAACAAUGUUUUUCUCUCACAAAACUGCAUGUCCAAACACAACUUCAAUUUUCAAAUACUUUUUCAACUGGACUUAAAAUACUAUUUUUUUUCCAAAUCUCACCUUUUUUUAUUUUUAUUUUUUAUGUCCAAACGCCUACUUAGUAGGGGUAUUACUAGUAGAAAUAGCGUCUAUUGACCACUUUUCGCCUUUUCGGCAUUGUCUUAGAAAAAUAGCCAUUGUCUUGGAGUUCCAAAUUUUAUUAGUGGAACUCCAUGAUUACACUUGUGGAAUUUGAAACUGUAGGACAGUGGAUAUUUUUCAAUUAUAGGAGCUAAAAGUUGGCUAUUUGUGAAAAUUUCCCAGUAUUACUACUAUUAAACUUUGAGUCAGCUUAGUUUAGGGACGAGUCGGGCCGGGCUGGCCCUAAUGGAGUUAAGUUUGGUCCCUCCAGGUGUGCCAAUGGACAGGAUGAGUUCGAGCCAGGCCGGGCCUUGGAGUUAAGUUUGGUCCCUCCAAGGUGUGCCAAUGGACAGUAUUCUUCAGCUCUGAGGAGCUAAUUUCAUGCAUUUUGUUGGCUAAAGUUUUGGGCCUCCUGUUCUAUUAGUCCAAAGAGUGAAUACUAUGCCUGCUCUGCAGUGAUGAAGUUGCAGCCUAGUAGUUGUAACUCCACGAUGCAUUCGUUAGGUGCAGGAUUAAAAUCUUACCAAUGACCAUAGGCUGCAAUACCAUACUGAAUCUCUUGGUUGAAAGAUUCAAAUACUGCGUAAAGCAUAAUCAACGGUUAGAAAUAUUUACUGGGUGUACUUUAGCAAGUAUAAGUGUUUACUUGGGAGUAUGCUAGUUGAAGUGUCAGUUGUGUAUUAAAAACGAAAAAAAGAAAAAUAUUUAAGUUUCCUGUUUCUCAUUAAUCUGAACAUGCUCAUAGUAAAAGUUGAUUACUUUUGUAGCGCUUUUGAAUGGAUGUGAUUGGUUCUCAUUUUUUUUUUUGGUUGAUAUUUUUGUAGCCCUAUAAUGGCCACUAUAAGAAUUACCCUUCUUCCACAAGUUCUCAGGUGACGCACACCACAUACCACAGUCAAAGAGAUCUUGAAUUCCAUAACUAGCAAUGUUAUAUGACCCAUCAGUAUAUCCAUAUUGAUUCUUCUAGUACAAACGAAUCUUAGUUUCGUUAGACUUAUCACAGAAAAUGUACACACACAUGUAACUAUGCCCUUUGUAACUUUUCAUCUUCUUGAUGUUUUUUAUAAUGAAACACCUUACUUCUUCAAAAAGAAAAUAUAUGUAGAUGUACACACACGUAUAGCUACCUUCAGGCUUUUUUAUUUUAUUUUUUUAUUCGCACUUCUUUUUCUUCAGUUCUGCUAUGCGUAUGAUUUUCUUUUUCUUUCUCCCUUUUUAUCAUUAUAUUAUACAGAUAAUUGAUAAUUGUUUUGCUUCCUAUAGCCUUGAGUUUCUGGUCUCUGAUGGCGACACCAGAAACCCCUGUUACACCAGCAACCCCCACUGAGAAUCAUGAGAUCGUGCUGAAAAAUGAGAUUGUACAUGAACAUAGCAAUGAGAUGGUGCCGGACGAUGAGAUGAUACAUGAACAUAGUCAUGAGAUGGUGCCGGAAAAUGAGAUGAUACAUGAACAUAGUCAUGAGGUGGUGCCGGAAAAUGAGAUGAUACAUGGACAUAAUCAUGAGUUGGUGCCGGUAAAUGAGAUGAUGCAUGAACAUAAUCAUGAGAUGGUGCAGGAACAUGAGAUGACACAUGAACAUCACAUAGUGCUUGGCAAUGAGAUAGUCCCUGGUGAUGAAAUGGUUCCAGACAAUGAGAUGAUCCCACUAAAUGAGAUGGUCCUUGCGGAACAACCCAACUAUAUCGAAACACCUCCAAACGAUCUAGAAACACAACCCAGCAAGCGUAGGAAAAAGAAGUCAAUAGUUUGGGAACACUUCACCAUUGAAAACGUUGGUGCUGGAACUAGAAGGGCAUGCUGUAAGCAGUGCAAGCAAUCAUUUGCAUAUAGUACAGGUUCAAAAGUAGCAGGCACUAGUCACCUGAAACGCCAUAUUGCAAAAGGAGCCUGUCCAGUUGUCCUACGUAACCAACAGAAUAAUCAAUCCAGCCCAUAUAAUACACCUUCUAAGAUGAGUGGAUAUGGGGGUAGUAACGAUGCACCAAAACGACGUUAUCGGACUGCUUCUUCUCCUUACCUUGCUUUUGAUCCAGACCGGUGCCGCCAGGAGAUCUCUAGGAUGAUCAUCAUGCACGACUAUCCUCUUCACAUGGUUGAGCAUCCAGGCUUUCUUACUUUUGUCCAGCAUCUUCAACCUCGUUUUGAUAUGGUGAGCUUCAACACCGUGCAAGGAGAUUGUGUGGCAACUUAUCUUAGAGAGAAGCAAGCCAUUCAGAAAGUGAUUGGGGGAGUGCCUGGGCGAAUCUGCUUAACACUUGAUAUGUGGUCCUCCUGCUACACUGUCGGCUAUGUGUUCAUAACUGGGCAGUAUAUUGACAGUGAGUGGAAAAUUCACAGGAAAAUACUCAAUGUCAUCAUGGAACCAUAUCCAGAUUCUGACACGGCUUUCAGCCACGCUGUUGCCGCUUGCCUUUCUGACUGGAGUAUGGAGGGGAAGUUAUUUUCUGUCACUAUUAAUCAUCCAAUCAGUGAUGCAGCUGUUGAUAAUCUUAGAGCUUUACUCUCAGUGAAGAACCCUCUUGUGCUCAAUGGCCAGUUGGUGGUCGGAAAUUGUCUUGCUCGAACUUUGAGCAGCAUUGCGCAAGAUGCGUUUCAUUUUUUGCAUGGAACUGUUAAGAAAGUAAGAGAUAGCAUAAAGUAUGUGAAAACAUCAGAAUCUCAUGAGGAAAAGUUUAUUGAACUCAAACAGCAGCUUCAGGUGCCAAGCACAAAGACGUUGGUGCUUGAUGACCGAACACAAUGGAACACAACAUAUGAGAUGUUGUUGGCUGCGUCAGAGCUAAAGGAAGUAUUUUCGUGCUUGGAUACAUCUGACCCUGAUUACAAGGAUGCCCCAUCUGUUGAAGAUUGGAAGCAAGUUGAGAUUCUGUGUACUUACUUGAAAAUCCUCUUCGACACUGCCAAUCUUCUGACCGCACCAACAAUUCCAACAACCAAUACAUUCUUCCAUGAAGCGUGGAAGAUUCAAUUGGAACUGGCUCGUGCUGCAGCAAGUGAAGAUCCAUCCAUCAGCAGCCUUACCAAAACGAUGCAAGAGAAGUUUGAUAAAUACUGGAAGAGUUGUUGUCUGAUGUUAGCGAUUUCCGUAGUAAUGGAUCCACGCUUCAAAAUGAAACUCGUUGAAUUCAGUUUUACGAAAAUAUACGGGGAAGAAGCUGCUACCUAUGUGAAGAUUGUUGAAGAGGGAAUCCACGAGCUCUUUCUUGAAUAUGUGGCACUUCCUCUGCCUCUGACCCCAACUUAUGCUGAAGAGGCAAAUGGCGGGGAUAUAAAGCAGGAGAACGCCCAAGACCUCGGUGCCUCUAGUAAUGGGGCCGGACUUACAGAUUUUGAUGCCUACAUUAUGGAGACAACAAGCCAGCAGUCAAGGUCAGAACUUGAUCAAUAUUUGGAAGAAUCCUUAUUGCCUCGUGUUCACGAGUUUGAUGUUGUGGGGUGGUGGAAACUGAACAGAAUGAAGUACCCUACUCUAUCGAAAAUGGCUCGUGAUAUCUUAUCAGUUCCAGUUUCAACCGUAACAGCUGAUUCUGUAUUUUGCACGGUAGGCAAAGAGAUGGAUCAGUACAGGUGUUCCUUGCGACCUGAAACCGUGGAGGCCCUCAUCUGUGCCAAGGACUGGCUUCAGAAUGCAUCAGUAGAUACUUUACACGCGCCAAUUAAAAUGGAAGUCCCGAUUUAGGUUGUUGCUGUAAUGUUUGAGUAGAUGUCUAGAAUGGUAUUUCGUAGCUGACUUCAUUUUCCUUUUAGAUUGUAAAAUUUUUCUUUUUUCUGUCGCCUGAGGAUUGACUUUCUUUUAUCAUCAUUCGGAACCAUUAAGCUCUUUAUGUGAGAAAUUUAUUCGAGAUGUUGCAAUCUCCUUGUUCAUUUCAUUGGUAUAUGAAUGCAUGAAGCUGUACAGAAAACAGGAAUGCCUUAUGUUUUGUGUUGUUCUUCAUUGUUAACUUGGCUGGCUGGUUUAGUUGUUCCAAAUUUAAUACGACACUAUAAGAAUAUAGCCAAUCUCGCCGAAAAUAAUGAAACAAUGUGAAAUAUCAAGGGGUAGGAAUAGUAAAAUACAAGACCGGUACUAAUACUACUGGGAAGACUAGACGAAACACCCUAAAGAAUAAGAACUAGAGCUUCGUCUAAUCAACAAAAGCCCUAUGAAAGUCCAAUGAAUACUGCAAAUCGAAAUGUCAAAUUAAUCAAUCAGCCUCCUAUCUUAUACUAAUAGAAAUACUGCAAAUCGUAAAAUUUUAUAUUCAUCCCCCCUUCAACCAUUUUCACAAAACAAUUCUUUAACCUGCAUUCAAAUUAGUAAGUAUUAUUUUACUUGAAAUACUCUUCGAACAAAGUUUUCAAUAUUUUAUCAGUCUUUCAAAAGUGAAGUUCGAAAUUCGCAAAUACUAAUGGUCAAUAUUGAGAAAUAUUAUUUGUAGCCGAAUUAUGUCGUUAAAUUCUGACGGAUACCCGAUAUCAUAGAGUGCAUAAGUAUAUAUAUGUAUAAAAAUGAUAUCCACAUCUUUGCCGUGUAUGAUUCUUUUGUGGGGAAAGUGCUCUUCAUCAAGAGUUUUUUCACUCUUAGGUUCAAACUCGAGAUAUCUUAUUAAAGAUAGAGUAAUAUCAUUCAUCCCAUCACACUCUUUAUGUCAGUUUUUAAUUAAAUUAUCAAGUAGAUAAAGGAGGAGAUUUACAGUUGGCUGGUUGAAUAAAACUUUAGUUGAGCUUAAAUAAGACAAUGAUGAUUUAUACAACCGAUCUCAAUUUGAUUGGAUUGAGCGUAAUUGUUAUUAUACUAAAUGGAUAUUUUUUUAAUGUAGAGUAUAUAAUUAUUUAUAUAAAAUGUUUUAUUCUUUUUGUUCCAAUCCUAUAAAGUCUUUGUGAACCAAAAAUACAAGACUUAAAGUCCAUCUGCUUGGUGACAAGACCUGAGCCAGUAAUAGUUGGAUCAGAUGAAAUCCCUUUUGAUUCAAAAUCGAAACCUUGCCCCCGCCAUAAUGGGCUAAUUUGAAAAGAAUUUUUACCCAAAUAGCUGAUCGAAUUAACUAUUUAUUUUUCUAGGCAUAUACAUAAAAUAUAUGAUAACGAUAUAAGAUUAUACACAUAUUAUAUAUAAAAUAUACAUAUAGUGCUAAAGCAAGUUUUUCUAAAUGAGGAUAUCAAGUUUCAACAUCCAAUAAAGACUUGCUAACAUAAUAAAUUGGAGAUUGUUUACCUUUGUCUUCUCAAAUUAACACUGCACUUACCGGCAUUUAUGACACAACGAGAUAGAUGAGUAGCCUUUCUCCAUCCUUCGAUUUGGCCAACAACGAUGGAUUUGAUAAGUACGUUUUUAGAUUUUUGAAUGCUUGUUGGCAUUCUUAGUCCACUCAAAUUGGCUUUGAUUUUUUAACACUGAAAAGAACUUAAAACUUUUCUCCGAAGAUUUAGAAAUAAACCUUCCUUAUGUUGCUAUCCUACCUGUCAACCUCUGCACCUUUUUUUUACUCGUGAGUAUAUAAGUUAUUUCUUCUAUGACUUUAAUCUGUGCUGGAUUUACUUCAAUUCCUUGGUUAGAAACAAGGAAACCCAAAAACUUACCUGAAGACACGCUAAAUAAACACUUUUCGGGAUUUAACUUCAUAUUGAAUUUGCAGAGAAUUUGAAAUGUAUUUGACAAAUGUUGGAUGUGAUCCCCCGCCUGUGUUUACUUGACUAGCAUGUCAUCGAUAUAGACUUUAAUACUUUUUUCCAGAUGCUCUUGAAACAUCUUCGUUACUAACCUAUGGUACGUUGCUCCAGCAUUCUUUAAGCUAAAAGGCAUGACUUUAUAACAGUAAGUCCUCCUGUCUGUAAUAAAGGAAGUUUUUCCUCAUCUAAAGGAUCCAUUUUUAUAUGAUUAUAUCCUGAAUAGGCAUCUAAAAAACUCAACAAUUCAUGUCCUUCAGUAGCAUCAAUUAGUUGAUCUAUGUGCGAUAAAGGAAAAGAAUCUUUAGGGCAAGCUUUAUUCAAGUCAGUAUAGUCUAUACAAACUCACCAUUUACCAUUCCUUUUGGGGACUACUAUAGUAUUAGCUAGCCAAUUAGGAUAUUUUACCUCUCGGAUAGACCUGAUUUUUAAAAGCUUUUGUAUCUCAUCCUGAAUUACCUGGUUUUUUAAGGAUCCUUGCUUCAUUUUCUUCUGUUUAACAGGUGGAUACGUUGGAUAUUCAUUAAGCUUAUGGGUCAUCACCUCCGGUGGUAUACUUGUCAUAUCUGAAUGCAACCAAGCAAAGUAGUCUGCGUUAGCUUUUAAGAAUUCAAUUAACUUAUCUUUUAUCUCUGGGCUUAGGUUGGUUCCGAUGUAAACUUUUCUGUCCGACCAAUGUAUAAACAACACUACCACUUCGAGUUCUUCAAUUGUUGUUUUGAUGAUUUCGUUCUCUUCUGGCUCUUGAAUAGUAUCAGGCCUUGAGUCUACAUUCGUUUUUCCAUCUCCUGUUGAGGUUUGUGUUGUUAAAUCCUCAACUGAAUUCUGUAAUUGCUAUUUUUCUUCUGCGACGUCGUUUUUAUGCUUGAAUUCGCCACUGAGCUGAUGCUUCUAGAAGCCUGUUGAUCACCACGGAUUUGUCUAAUUCCCCAUUGCGAAGGGAACUUAAUAACCUGAUGUAGAGUAGACGGAACAACAUCUAUCUCGUGAAUCCAAGGUCCAUCGAGAAUCAUAUUGUAUGUCAUGUCCAUAUCUAUCACUUGAAAUUUCGUAUCUUUGACUACUCCUUCUGCGAAUAUGGUGAGUACUAUCUCUCCUUUUAUAACAAUGCUUGAAUUGUCAAAUCUAGAUAAGGUACAUGCUUUGGGUAUAAAUUUAUCAUCAGCUUGCAUCUCGUUUACCACUCUUAAAAGAAUGAUAUUUACAGAGCUACCUGGAUCAAUCAAAACUCGUUUCACAUUAGUAUCAUGUACAAGUAAAGGUAUUACCAGUGCAUGAUUAUGUGGGAUCAUCACACCAUCUGCAUUUGCAUCAUCAAACGCUAUACUGUCUUCUUCCAGAACUUGUGAACUCCCUUUCCGUGGGUAACUGUGACUUUUGCCAUCUUUUUUGCAGCCGUAUAUGUCACACCGUUGACCUCCUCUCCUCCGCUUAUCAUGUUAACCGUUCUUUUUGGUAAUGGAGGUUUUGGUGACUUUUGUCUAUUCUUCAUAUAUGCUUGCUUACCCUUCUCACUAACAUAUCGGUUAAAUAGACUUGGUUUAACAAGUGCUCUACUUCACCUUGUAGCAAUCUUCAAUCUGCUGUUUUAUGACUGUGAUCAUUAUGAAACUCGCAUCAGAAAUCUGGGUUUCUUCUGCUGGGGUUCGAUCUCAUUUCUUUUGGUCACCGCACCUUAUCUCCCAUACUCCUUAAAACAGCUACCAACUCAGAUGUGAUAACAUUGAAACUGUAAUCACCAAUCUUUGCCUUUGUACUAAUGUUGUUGUCCCGCAUAUCUCGCUCCUUUCCAAACUUGGAUGGCGAACCCGCAUCUCUAUCCCUUGAUUUAGAAGCGUACCUCGGGUUCUUGUGUUUAGAACGUGAAUCGCUUCCUGCUGGUCCCAUGUAAGGUUUGUACCUGUUCUUAUUGGACCUUUUUUCAGUUUCUGGUCGCCUCGAACUUGUUCUUUCAUCUCCCCGUGACUGAGUGAUAGUAUCUUCUUCUAUCUGCAUCUUCAAGCUAUAUCUGUUGUAAACAUCAUUCCAAGUUGUUGGAGGGAAUUCUCGUAAGCUUUCUUUGAGUCUCCUCGUGGCUUCUGAGCUUUAUUCAUUUAAGUUACUUGCAAACUCCAUGACCGCCUAAUUAUCCGAUACACGAGGUAACAUCAUCCUUUCACGCUGAAAUCUAUCAACAAAUUCCCUGAGUAGCUCCAUAUCUCCUUGUUUUAUUUUGAAGAUGUCUUCCAUCCUCUUUUCAACUUUUUGAUCUCCCGAGUGUGCUUUUAAAAAUGAAUCUGCAAGCUCAGCAAAAGAAUCAAUAAAAUUUUCUGGUAAAGAGAAUACCAUGUUAGUGCUCCUUUUAUGAGUGUUUCGCCAAAUUUUUUGACCAGCACUGACUCAAUUUCUUGCUUCAUCAAGUCGGUACCUUUUACGCCAGUUGUAAAUGUAGUUACAUGAUCUCGUGGGUCGGUUGUCCCAUCAUACUUUGGAAUAUCGGGCAUCUUAAACUUUUUUGGAAUUGGCAAGGGAGCGACACUUGGCUUCUAGGGCUGUUGAGAAUAUUUAGCAAUAUCCACUCCUUUAAUCACGGGUGGCACACCAGGUAUCUGAUUUAUGCGAUCGUUCUGCACCUUGAGUUGUUUCUGCAAAGUUAGUACUAAACUUUGUAAAUAAGAAUUAUUUGGAGUACCUGACCUUCCAUCGCAAGAUUCGCUGGGAGUUCCUCUACUGCCAGAAUUAGCAAGUCCCGAGCGUAGGUUCUCUAUGGUUGCGGUGUUAUUUGGAGGUGUUGGUAAUACAGUUGGCAAUCCACUAACAAAAGCUUGGAGAGCAUUGUUGACGUGUUUUGCAAUUAGUUGCUUCAAUGCAUCUUCAGUAGUUUGAUCGUCCCCUUAUUGGUUAUUCACAUAUGAUGUUGAUCUUUUAGGUGACCCUUCUCAAGAGUGUUGAGGAGAAUUUAAGGGUGAAGGGAUUGUAGUUUUAUCCUCUUAUUGAUUCUGUUGGUUCAGUUGGUUUUGUUGGUUGUUGUCGUUGACAGUCGACAUGAUUUUUUGACAGAAAAAUGGAUUUGGAAAGUGAAAAGAUUAUCAGAUUCCCGGUAACAAAACCAAUUUGUUUAACCAAAAAAUGUAUCUUUCGGUCAAAGCCUAUUUUUGGAAGUACUCAGGUUACUGAUAACCAAGAAAUUUCGUACUUUCUCAAUUAUAUGAAAAGAAAAGAACAAGAAUAACAAAGGAAAUAACUGAUUGCAAAGUCGAUAUAAUGUAAAGAUGAAAAGUAAAGUAAAUUUAUUCCAAUAUUGUUCCAGAUGAUCCUUACAAAUGAAGUUCUCUUCCCUUUUAUAGGGAUUUACAAAUAUAAUGUUUCUUCCCUUUUGUGGCCGAAUCAUUAUGAUCAUUAAUGACAUUAGUGGUCCGUUAGAGUUGGCUAUCAUAACUAUUUAUGGAGAUUCUGUAACGGUUUCAAUUCUUCUUCACCAUUAAUUGGAGGUUCGUAAACCUUCCCCUUCCUACUGUCUUGAUUCAUUCAGCCCAUAUUUACUGAAUGAUUUAGGCUCGAGCAACUACAUCCCUUCAUCUCGUGAGUGAUUUGCCCGUGCCUCUUGUAUCUCGUGCAUCUUCUAAUGCAUAUUCCAAGUGUCACCUUCUUAAUGAUCCACGUAUCAUGCCUUGUCAGCCACAUACAAUUCCACGUGUCAUAUUUUUUUUUACUAAUAUAGCCUUGUCCGUUACUCAUUUUUUGUCAUUUUAGGGCUAUAAGUAUAGAAUUCUACCCGAUUAUUAGAUUUUCAUGUGCUAUAGACCAUGCCUUUUGCAUAAGUCCCUGCGAUCAAACCCGAAUCGCUAGUCACUACCUCGCCCUGACCAUUACUAGUUUUUUGGCGUUUUAGGGCCAUAAAACUAGAAUUCUGCCUGAUUCCCAAAUUUUCGUGUAAUGUAGUCCACACUUUUUGCAUGGGCCGGUUGACCGGACCUGGAUUGCCUAAAAUUUUACUGGCCAAUCAAAAUUGAUAAAAGGAACAAUAGUCACCGCCUCUCCAAUACCCUUACUCGUUUAUUGGCAUUUUAAGGCUAUACAAUAAAAUUUCACUCGAUUCUCAAAUUUCGUGUGCAUGGGCCCGGGCUACCGAACCCGGAUAAUCUAAAAUUUUACCAGACCAUCAAAAUAACCUAAGGAAUAUUAGUCACCACUUCACUAUGUCCGUUACUCGUUUUUGUGUUUUAGGGAUAUAAAACUAGAAUGCCACCCGAUUCUCAGAUUUUCAUGUGCUAUAGCCCACACCUUCUACAUGGGUCCGGGCGACCAAACCAGGAUCACCUAAAAUUCUGCAAGCCCAUAAGGAACCAUAAUCAUCGCCUCACCAUGACCGUCACUCGUUUUUUGGUGUUUUAGUGCCAUAGAACUAGAAUUUCGCCUGAUUCUCAAAUUUUCAUGUGCUAUAGCACACGCCUUCUGCAUGAGCCCGGACAACUGGACCCGUCUCCCCUAAAAAAAUUUCGGACCGUAAAAAAUGACUAAGAAAUAAUAUUCAUCGACUCGCCAUAACCGUUACUCAUUUUUGGGCUUUUAAGGGCUAUAAAACUAGAAUUUCGCCCAAUUCCUAGAUUUUCGUAUGCAUGGGCCAAGGCGACCGGACACAGAUAGAUUAUGAUUUUUUCGGCCCUGAAAAAAUGACCUAAGAAAUAAUGGUCAUCGCGGCCAUGAUCAUUACACGAUUUUUUGGCAUUUCAGGGCCAUAAAACAGGAAUUUUGCCCGAAUCCCAAAUUUUCGUGUCCUGUAUAGCCCACGCCUUCAGCAUAAACCCGGACGACCGAACUCGGAUUGCCUAAAAAUUUUUUAGACCAACAAAAACAACCUUAAGAACAAAAGUCACCAUGUUGCCAUGACCGUUAUUCAUUUUUUUGGAAUUUUAGGGCUAUAAAACUGGAAUUCCGUCUGAUUCUCUGAUUUUCAUAUGCUGUAGCCCACACAUUCUGCAUGGGCCGAGGAGGCCAGACCUGGAUCGCCUAUAAUUUUUUCCGACAAAUAAAAAAUGACCAAAGUAAUAAUAGUCACCGCCUCGCCAUGACCCUUACUCAUUUUUUGUUGUUUUAGGGCCACAAAACUAGAAUUCUGCCUCAUUCCCAGAUUUUCGUGUGCGAUAGCCCACGCCUUCUGCAUGGACUGAGGCAACCGAACCCGGAUCGUCUAAAAUUUUACCGAACCAUCAAAAACGACCUAAGGAACAAUGGCCACUACCUCACCAUGAACGUUACUCGUUUUUGCUGUUUUAGGGCUAUAAAACUGGAAUUCCGCAUGAUUCCUAGAUUUUCAUGCAUAAUAGCCCACGUCUUCUGUAUGAGCCAUAAAUGCUGGGCCCGGAUCAUAAAAUUUUUUUGGACCAUAAAAAACGAUCUAAGGAACAAUAUUCACCGUGCCAUGAUUAUUACUUGUUUUUUUUGAUGUUUUAGGGUCAUAAAACUGAAACUUCACCUGAUUCUUAAAUUUACAUGUACUAUAGCCUACGCCUUAUGCAUGGGCCGGGGCGACUGGGCCUGGAUCGCCUAUAUUUUGUUGGACUAUCAAAAAUGACCUAAGAAAUAAUAAUCAUCUACCUCUCUAUGAUCGUUACUCGUUUUUUGUUAUUUUAGGGCCACAAAACGAGAAUUUUGCCUGUUUUUAAAUUUUUAUGUGCUAUAGUCCACGCCUUCUGCAUGGGCCUGGGCGACUGGACCCAUAUCCCCUAAAAUUUUGUUGGACCGUAUAAAACGACCUAAAGAGCAAUAGUCACUGCCUCACCAUGACCGUUACUCAUUUUUGAGCGUUUAAGGGCCAUAAAACAAGAAUUCUACCCGAUUCCCAGAUUUUCAUGUGUAUGGGCCAAGGCGACCAGACCCAGAUAGAUUAAAAUUUUGUCUGCCAAUAAAAUGAUCUAAGAAACAACGGUCACCAUCUCUCCAUGAUCGUUACACGUUUCUUGGCAUUUUUGGGGCCAAAAAAGUGGAAUUUCGUCUGACUCCCAAAUUUUCAUGUGAUGUAGCCAUGCCUUCAGCAUAGGCCUGGGCGAUCGAACCAGAUCUCCUAAUAUUUUGUCAGACCAACAAAAACGAUCUUAGGAACAAAAGUCAACACGUCGUUGUGACCGUUACCUCUUUUUUAGCGUUUUAGGGCCAUAAAAUUGGAUUUUCGCCAGAUUCCCAAUUUUUCAUAUGCUAUAGCCGACACCUUAUGUAUGGAUCCGGGAGACCUAACCCAGAUUGACUAAAAUUUUGUCAGUACAUCAAAAACCACCUAAGGAACAAUAGACGACACCUCCUCAUGAUCGUUACUUAUUUUUUGGCAUUUUUAGGCCAUAAAAUUGAAAUUUCUGCCUGAUACCUAGAUUUUUGUGUGCUAUAUAGUCCACGCCUUCUGCAUGUGCUCGGGCAGCCAGACCGGAUUGCCUAAAAUUUUGCUGGCCCAUCAAAAAUGACCUAAGGAACAAUAGUCAUCGCCUCUCCAUGACCGUUACUCGUGUUUUGGCAUUUUAGGGCCAUAAAACUGGAAUUCCACCACAUUCUAAAAUUUUUGGAUGCUAUAGCCCACACCUUCUGCAUGGACUCUGGUGAAAGGACUUGGAUCGCCUAAAAUUUUGCCGGACCAUCAAAAUAGACAAAUGGAACAAUAAUCACUGCUUUUCCAAGACCGUUACUCGUUUUUUGGUGAUUUAGGGCCAUAAAACUAGUAUUACACUUGAUUCCCAGAUUUUUGUGUGCUAAAGCCCACAUCUUUUGCACGGACCGGGACGACCAGACCCAGAUCGCUUAAUUUUUUUGGCCCAUAAAAAACAAUCUAAGGAAUAAUAGUCACCGCCUCACCAUGACUGUUAUUCGUAUGUUUUGGGAUUUUGGGCCAUAAAACUGGAAUUUCGCCAGAUUUUCAAUUUUUCAUAUGCACCCAUGCCUUCUACAUGGGGCCGAGCUACCGGACUUGAAUCGUCUAAAAUUUUGCCAGACCAUUUACUCAUUUUUAGUAUUUUAGGGUCAUUAAACUUAAAUGCCACGCGAUUUCCAGAUUUUCGUGUGCCCAGCAAAAAUUUUGUCGAUCCGGGAUCGGUCGCCCAGGCCCAUGCAUAAGGCGUGGGCUAUUGCACACAAAAAUUUAGGAAUCGGACGAAAUUCUAGUUUUACGGCCCUGAAAUGCCAAAAAAUGAGUAAUGGUCAUGGUGAGGAGGUGAAUAUUAUUACUUAGGUCAUUUUUUAUGGUCUGGUAUAAUUUUAGAUGAUCCUGGUCUGAUCGCCUAGGCUCAAGAACAAGGCAUGAGCUAUAGCACACGAAUAUUGUUCCUUAGAUCGUUUUUGAUGGGCCAUCAAAAUUUCAAGCGAUCGGGGACUAGUUGCCCGGGCCCAUAGAGAACAAUAGUAACCACCUUUCCCUGACCGUUCCUCGUUUUUAGCAUUAUAGGGCCAUAAAACUAAAAUUCCAUUUGGUUCCCAAUUUUCAUGUGAAAUAUCCUACGUUUUCUGCAUGGGCCCUGACGACUGGACCUGGAUCAUCUAAUAUUUUAAUAGACCAUCAAAAAUGACUUGAGGAACAAUAUUCACCCCCUCUCCAUGACCGUUACUUGUUUCUUAGUGUUUUAGGGCCAUAAAACUGGAAUUUCAUCUGAUUCCUAGAUUUUCAUGUGCUAUAACCCACGCCUUCUGUAUAGGCUCGGGCGACCGAACCUGUGUCGCCUAACAUUUUUAGGACCAUAAAAAUGACCUAAGAAUUAAUAGUCACCGCCUCGCCAUGGUUGUUACUCAUUUUUUUUAGCAUUUUAGGGCCAUAAAACUUGAAUUCCACCUGAUUCCCAUAUUUUCGUGUGCGAUAGCCCAUGCCUUCUGCAUGGAUCUAGGCGAUCGGACUCGAAUCACCUAAAAUUUGCCGGAUUUUCAAAAAUGACCUAAGAAACAAUAGUCACUACUUUUCCAUGGCCGUUACUUAUUUUUUUUGUGUUUUAGGGUCAUCAAACUGGAAUUUCACAUGAUUCCUAGAUUUUCAUGUGCUAUAGCUCAUGCCUUCUACAUGGGUGAUAACUAGGGAUUCUAGUUUAUUUUACACUCCUUUUUACUUGAGUUUUGAUUAAAAUUGUAUACAAAUAGUCCUAGAGGCUUACAUGUUGUACUUGUCUGCAAGGUUUGGUCAAAAAGGUGACAAGUAGUCAAAACCAGCUCAAAAAGGAGUGAAACAUGCACAAGUACCAAGAACAAGUCAAGGCACUGCUGCAUCAUUAAAUCAACUGCAGCCGCAAAAGACCCACCGCGGUCGUAGACCAUUUAGUGCGGUUUAUGGUGGAUGAGUUCAGAGAGGUGCAUUUUUGGAGCUUAAAGCAGUGCGGCCCACCGAGGAUUUUUGGUGGCCGCAGAAGCUUCUCUGCAGCCGCAACCCAUUUUGCGCGGUUCGCGGAGAAGGGAUUUAGAGAGUUAGGAGUUUGGAGGAUUGAAGCCAGCGCGGUCCGUGACCCAUUUUGUGCGGACCGCAAUUAAGCUACUGCGGUCGUGGAGCAUUUUAUGUGGCCCGCGGUGUCCAUAUUCAGAGAGUGAAAAGUCAAGCCAAAAAGCCUCAUCGCGGCUGCGGUGCAUUUUCGACGGUCUGCAGUACCUCCGUCAGGGGUAUUUUUGUCCAGAAAAUUCAGCCUAGUAUAAAUACUUUCUUUUCACAUUUUUAGGGUAUCUUUUGUAAUCUGUUAGAAUCCAGAGCACGUGAACGGCGGUUUUAUUCCAUUUUGAGUAAUUUGUAGCUAGUUUAACAAUCUUCAAUUUCUUAGUUUAUAAUCUUAAUAUAUGGGUUAUUCUUCAUCUAUUUCUCUGUUUUCUUCCAUUAUUAUGAGUAGAUAGACCCAUUAGCUAGGGUUGUGGCUCAACCCUAGUGUGGGUAUUUGAUGGGUCUUUUGAUUUAAGGCUUAGAUGUUUAUGGGUGUUUGAUAUUUGGACCGAUUUAUAUUUUCCAUGUUGAAUUAGUGGUUGCGAACACUAAUUUGUGCCUAUUUGACUUGGGCUCAUCUUGAGAAAGAGAGCUUGAGUCUAGGAAAAUCAGUCCAACAAGGAAUUGGGGUGUAAUCAAGAGAUUAAUAGCCCCAAUUAAAGAGUUAAACCUGGAGAUAGUAAUACCCGAUUUGAGCCUAUACUGCUUACACAAUUUUGACACCCAAUUGGUCUUGAGAAAGUCAAUUAGGGCAAAGUCACUCAAGCUACCGAGAGGUAUAGAGUGAGUAGUUCCGUGCAUUGGCUAUAUCGCAAUCCCCAACAUAAUAACUUUGCGUUAGGAUUUAGAUCCUGUCAAGUAUUCACCUAGGAGAAAGUCACUUCCCUAGUGCCUCGUUAUCCAUUUAGAAAACCUUACAAGCAUUUCACUCUUAGUUUAAUUUAGCAUCUCAUUAGUAUGAAAUUAGAAGUAACAAACAACAAUUAUGAUUGGAAGUGUAAUUAAGGGCACUACGCACUGCUAGUUUAGAUAGGAAUCCAAUUCCCAAUUCUAGCUCCCUGUGGAUUCGAUCCCGACCAUCUCGGGUAACAGUUACUUCGACCGCUCUUGCCACUUACUAGUGGUGUAGGGUUGGCACUGAUCACUUUUUGGCAUCGAUACCGGGGAGCUAACGGUUUUGGCUAUCUAUCUAAAUAGUUUUGUGUAUUGUUUUUCUUUCCUUCCGUGCUACUAAUUUAUGUGUAUCGCAAACUCAAGUACAAAAUGGUGGCAAACAAUGUACCUCUUGGAGGCCUUCCACCGGGGGAGGAGGUAGAUGACAAUAUUGAUGAUGAGGUUCCCAUAGUACCUCAAGGACAAAGGAGAGGCCGCCAGGCCAAUGAUAAUGUUCCAGACCCGAAUUGCUCAAAACAAUUUCGAACCAUAAAAAACAACUUAAGGAACAAUAGUCACCACCUCACCAUGACCGUUAUUCAUUUGUUGGCGAUUUAGAUCCAUAAAACUGCAAUUAUGCCUGACUUGAAUUUUCUUGUACUAUAACCCACGCCUUCUACAUGGGCCCGAGCAAUCGGACCCGAAUCGUCUAAUAUUUUUCCGGAUUAUCAAAAAUGACCAAAGGAACAAUAGUCACUGCCUCGCCAUAACCGUUACUUAUUUUUUGGUAUUUUAGGGCCAUAAAACUGGAAGUCCGUCAGGUUCCUAGAUUUUUAUAUGCUAUAGCCAAUGCCUUCUACAUGGGCCCAAGCGACCGGAUCCGGAUCGCCUAAAAUUUUUUUGGACCGUCAAAAAUGGCCUAAGGAACAAUAGUCUACACCUCGCCAUGACCAUUACUCAUUUUUGGCAUUUUAAGACCAUAAAAUUGGAAUUUCGCCUGAUUCUUAGAUUUUCACGUGUCAUAACCCAUGCCUUCUACAUGGGCCCGAGCGACCGAACCUGGAUCGCCUUAUUUUUUCGGAGUAUCAAAAAAGACCUAAGGAACAUUAGUACCACCUCUUCAUAACCGUUCCUCAGUUUUUGGCAUUUUAAGGCCAUAAAACUGAAAUUUCGCCCGAUUCCUAGAUUUUUAUGUGCUAGCACACGCCUUGUGCAUGGGUCGGAUGAGCGGAAUUGAAUCGCCUAAAAUUUUGUUGGACAAUCAAAAAUGACCUAAGGAAUAAUUCAUCGCAUCUCCAUGAUCUGUGUUUUGUCCUUUUAAGGCCAUAAAACUAGAAUUCUGCCUGAUUCCCAGAUUUUCGUGUGCUAUAUAGCCCACGACUUCUGCAUGGGCCCUAGCACCCGGACCUGGAUCGCCUAAAAUUUUGUAGGACCAUAAAAAAUGAUAUAAGGAACAAUAGUCACUGCCUCUCCAUGACCAUUACUUAAUUUUUGGUGUAUUAGGCCCAUAAAACUAGAAUUCCUCCCGAUUCCCAAAUUAUCAUGUGCUAUAGCCCACGCCCUCUGCAUAGGCCCGGGCGACCAGACCCGGAUCGCCAAAAAUUUUGUCAGACCAUCAAAAAGGACCUAAUGUACAAUAGUCACCACCUCGUCAUAAGCGUUACUCAUUUGUUUGGGAUUUUAGGGCCAUAAAACUAAAAUUCCGUCGGAUUCCCAAAUUUUCGUAUGCCAUAGUCCACACCUUCUGCAUGAGCGUGGACGAUCGGAUUUGGAUCGUCUAAAAUUUUGUUGGACCAUAAAAACGACCUAAGUAACAAUAGUCACCGCCUCACCAUGACCUUCACUCAUUUUUUGGAACUUUAGGGCCAUAAAAUUUGAAUUCUGCCUAAUUCCUAGUCGUGUGUUAUAGCCCCGCCUUCUACGUGGUCCUGGGCGAUCGAGCCUGGAUCACCUAAAAUUUUAAUGACCAUCAAAAAAGCCCUAAGGAUUAAUAGUCACCACCUCGCCUUGACCAUUACCCAUUUUUGGCAUUUUUGGGCUACAAAACUUGAAUCCCGCUCGAUUCCCAGAUUUUCGUGUGCGAUAGCCCACACCGUCUGCAUGGUCUAGCGACCGAACUAGAAUCACCUAAAAUAUUUUCGAACCAUAAAAAAUGACCUAAGGAAUAAUAGUCACCACCUCGCUAUGACUAUUACUCAUUUUUGAUGUAUUAGGACCAUAAAAUUUGAAUUCCGCCUGAAUCCUAAAUCUUUUUAUGCUAUAGCCCCCGUCUUCAGCAUGGGCCCGAGCGAUCGAAUAUAGAUUGCCUAAAAUUUUGCGGAACCAUAAAAAACUACCUAAGGAACAAUAGUCACUGCCUCUCCAUGAUCAUUACUCGUUUUUUUUUUGUGUUUUAGCACCAUAAAACUGGAAUUUCGCCAGAUUUUUAGAUUUUCGUGUGCGAUAGCCCACGUCUUUUGCAUGGGCCCGGGCGAUCGGACCUGGAUCACCAUAAAUCUAGAAUUUUGCCCGAUUCUCAGAUUUUUGUUUGCUACGGCCCACGCCUUCUGCAUAGGCAUGGGCGACAGGUCCCGGAUCGCCUAAAAUUUUGUUAGGCCAUCAAAAACUACCUAAGAUACAAUAGUCACUGCCUUACCAUGACCGUUACUCGUUUAUUGGCGUUUUAGUGCAAUAAAAUUGUUAUUCCGUCCGAUUCAUAGAUUUUCGUGUGUCAUAGUCCAUGCCUUCUGCAUGGGCUCGGGAGAACGAACCAGGAUCGCCUAAAAUUUAUUCGGACCAUUAAAAUCAACCUAAGGAAUAAUAUUCACUGUCUCGCCAUGAUCGUUCCUUGUUUUUUGACGUUUUAGGACCAUAAAACUUGAAUUUCGCCCGAUUCUCAAAUUUUCGUAUGCUAUAUAGCCCACGACUUCUGCAUGGGCCCAGGCGACCGAACCUGGAUCCCUUAAAGUUUUGUCGGACCAUCAAAAAUGACCUAUAGAACAAUAGUCACCGUCUCACCAUGAUCGUUACUCUUUUUUGGUGUUUUAGGGCCAUAAAACUGGAAUUCCGCAUAAUUCCCAAAAAUUUUGUGUGUUAUAGCGCAUGCCUUCUGUAUGGGCCCGGACGCCCGGAUCAAGAUCGCCUAAAAAUUUUACGGACCUUAAAAAUGACCUAAGGAAAAAUAGUCACCGCUUCACCAUGGCUGUUACUCGUUUUUUGGGAUUUAGGGCCAUAAAAUUGGAAUUUCACCCGAUUUCCAAAUUUUUGUCUACCAAGGCCCAUGACUUAUGCAUGGCCCCGAGCGACAAGACUCGGAUCGCCUAAAAUUUUGCCGGACCAUCAAAAAUGACCUAAGGAAUAAUAGUCACUACCUCGCCAUGAGCGUUACUCAUAUUUGGCAUCUUAGGGCCAUAAAACUUGAAUCCGCUCGAUUCCCAAAUUUUCAUGUGAUAUUGCCCACGCCUUCUUCAUGGGCCCGGGUGACGGAACCCGAAUCGCCUAAAAUUUUGCCGUACCUUAAAAUAUGACCUAAGGAAUAAUAGUCACUAUCUCUCCAUGACCAUUACACUUUUAUGGUAUUUAGGGCCACAAAACUAGAAUUCUAUCUGAUUCCCAGAUUAUAGUGUGUUAUAGCCAAUACCUUCUAUAUAGGCUCGGGCAACUAGACUUGGAUCCCCUAACAUUUUGUCAGACCAUCAAAACUGACCUCAGGAACAGUAGUCACUACCUCACCAUGACCGUUCCUUUUUUUUUUUGCGUUUUCGGGCCGUAAAACAAGAAUUCCACCCAAUUCCACGCCUUUUGCAUGAGCCCGAGCGACCGAACCCAGAUUGCCAAAUAUUUUUCCAGCCUAUCAAGAACAACCUUGGAACACUACAUGAGCCAGACAUAAGAUCUGGGUGGAAUUCUUGUUUUACGGCCCGAAAACGCCUAAUAUUUUGUCAUACCAUCAAAAAUGACAUAAGGAACAAUAGUCACUGACUCGCCAUGACCAUUCCUCAUUUUUUGGAGUUUUAGGGCCAUAAAAUUAGAAUUCCGCUCGAUUCCCAAACUCUCGUAUGCAAUAGCCCACGCCUUCUGCAUGGCCUCAGGCUACCGGACUAGAAUCACCUAAAAUUUUACUGACCAUCAAAUACCACAUGAGGAAUAAUGGUCACCACCUUUCCAUGAUCGUUACUAGUGUUUUGGCAUUUUAGGUCAAUAAAAACUGGAAUUCUGCCUAUUUCCGGAUUUUCAUGUGCUAGGGCCUAUGCAGAGGACCUAAUGUACAAUAGUCUUCGCCUCGCCAUGACCGUUACUCUUUUUUGGCUCUUUUAGGGCCAUAAAAUUGGAAUUCUGCUUGAUUCCCAAAUUUUUGUGUGCCAUAGCACACGCCUUCUGCAUGGGUCGGGCGACCGGACUCGGAUCGCCUAAAAUUUUGCUUGACCAUAAAAAACAACCUAAGGAAUAAUAGUCACAACCUCACCAUGACCGUUACUCAUUUUUUGGCAUUUCAGGACCAUAAAAUUUGAAUUCCGUCUAAUUCCCAAAUUUCCGUAUGUAGCCCACGCCUUCUGUGUGGGCCUGGGCGAUUGAACCCGGAUUGCCUAAAGAUUUGCCUGACCAUAAAAAAUGACCUAAGGAUUAAUAAUCACCAUAUUUUAGGGUUAUAAAACUUGAAUGCCACCAGAUUUCUAAAUUAUCGUGUGCUAUAGCCUGCGUCUUCUGUAUGGGACCGGGCGACCAGACCCGGAUCGCCUAAAAUUUUGUUGGCCCAUAGAAAAUGGCCUAAGAAACAAUAGCCACCUUCUCGCCAUUGUCGUUACUCAUUUUUUGAUGUUUUAGAGCCGUAAAACUGGAAUUCUGCCCGAUCCCCAGAUUUUCGUAUGCUAUAGCUCACGCCUUCUGCAUGGGCCUGGGCGAUCGGACCCGGAUCUCCUAAAAAUUUUCUGGACCAUCAAAAUGACCUAAGGAACAAUAAUCACUGUCUCGCCGUGACCAUUACUUAUUUUUUGGCAUUUUAGGGCCAUAAAACUAUAGUUCUACCCGAUUCCCAAAUUUUUGUGUGCUAUAGCCGAUGCUUUAUGUAUGGGCCUGGGCGGUAGGACUCGCAUCACCUAAAAAAAUUUCCGACCAUCAAAAAUGACCUCAGGAACAUUAUUCACCACCUUUCCAUUGCCGUUACUCAUAUUUUGGUGUUUUAGGACCAUAAAACUUGAAUUCCGCCCAAUCUUAGAUUUACAUGUGCUAUUACCCAUGCCUUCUGCAUGGACCCGAGCGACCGUACCUGGGAUGCCAAAAAUUUUGCUGGACCAUCAAAAAUGAUCUAAGGAAUAGUCACUGCCUCGCCAUGAGUGUUCCUCAUUUUUUGGUAUUUUAGGGCCAUAAAAUUAGAAUUUCGCUCCCAAAUUCUCGUGUGCUAUCUGCAUGAACUUGGGCUAUCGGCUCCAAAUUGCCUAAAACUUUGCGGGACCAUUAGAAAUAACGUAAUGAACAAUAGUCAUCACUUUGCAAUGAUCAUUCCACGUAUUUUGGCAUCUUAGGACCAAAAAAUAGAAAUUCAGCAUGAUUUCUAUUUUUUGUGUGCUAUAGUCCACGUCAUUUGCAUGAACUUAGCCGACCAGUUCUGAAUCACCUAAACUUUUGCGGGCCCAUCAGAAAUGACUGAAUGAUCAAUAGUCAUCACUUCACCAAGUCCGUUCUCAAUUUUUGGCAUUUUAGGGCCAUAAAACAGGAAUUUAGGAUGAUUUCCAAUUUUACAUAUGAUAUAGUCCACACCAUCUGCAUGAACUCUGGUGACCGGCUCAUAAUCGCCUAAAAAUUUGAGGGCACAUCAGAAAUGGCCCGAUGAAUAAUUGUCUUCUUUUUGUCAUAAACAUUCCUCAUUUUUUGGUGUUUUAGGGUGAUAAAACAAGAAUUCAGCAAGAUUUUCGAAUUUGUUUCGUGUGAUAUAGUCUACACCAUCUGCAUGAAUUUAGGCAACCAGCUUCGAAUCACCUUAAAUUUUGCGGGCCCAUAAGAAAUAGCCUAAUGAAUAAUAGUCAUUGCUUCUCCAUGACUGUUCCUCAUUUUUGGGAUUUAGGGCCAUAAAAUAGGAGUUUAGGAUGAUUUUCAAUUUUUUGUGUGCUAUAUUCCAGGCCAUCUACAUGAACUCAGGCAUCUAGCUCUAAAUCGCCUAAAAUUUUGUGGGCCCAUCAAAAAUCACCUAAUGAAAAUUACUCAUCGCUUUGCCAUGACCGUUUCUAAAUUAUUUUACGUUUUAGGGCCAUAAAACAAAAAUUCAACAUGAUUUUCAAAGUUUCGUGUGCUAUAGUCCACGCCAUUUGCAUGAAUUCGGGCAACCAGCUCUGAAUCGCCUAAAGUUUUGCGGGCCAAUAAAAAAUGACCUAAUGAACAAUAGUCAUUACUUCGCCAUGACCGUUCCUCAUUUUAUGACUUUUGAGAACCAAAAAAUAGGAAAUUAGGAUGAUUUUCGAAUUUUCAUGUGCUAGUCCACGCUAUCUGCAUGAACAGGGGCUACCGACUCCAAAUCGCCUAAAAUUUUGCGAGUCUAUCAAAAGUGGUGUAAUGAACAAUAGUCAUCACUUCGACAUGACCGUUCCUCGUAUUUUGGUAUUUUAGGGCCAUAAAAUAGAAAUUCAGCAUGAUUUAUGAUUUUUUAUGUGUUACAGCUCAUGCCAUCUGCAUGAGCUCGGGCGAUUAGCUCUGAAUCACCUAAAAAUUUUAUGGGCCCAUCAAAUAUGACCUAAUGAAUAAUAGUCAUUUCUCCUAGACCAUUCCUCGUCUGUUGGAAUUUUAGGGCUAUAAAAUAGGAAUUCAGGCGAUUUCUAAUUUUCCGCGUGCUAUAGUCCACGCCAUUUUCAUGAACUCGGGCGACCAGCUCUGUAUCACUUAAAAUUUUGUGGUCACAUCAGAAAUCACCUAAUGAAAAUUAUUCAUCGCUUAGCCAUGACAAUUCCUCAAAUUUUUGAUGUUUUAGGGCCAUAAAACAUGAAUUUAACACGAUUUCCGAAUUUCGUGCGCUAUAGUCCACGACAUUUGCAUGAAUUCGGGAAACCGACUCUGAAUUACCUAAUAUUUUGCGGGACCAUCAGAAAUGAUCUAAUGAACAAUACUUAUGAUUUUGCCAUGAAUGUUCCUCGUUUUUUUGGUGUUUCAGGGCCAUAAAAUAGAAAUUCAACUAGAUUUUCGAAUUUUCUUGCACUAUAUAGUUCACGCCAUCUGCAUGAAUUGGGCGAUCAGCUCUUAAUCAUUUAAAAUUUUACUGGCCCAUAAGAAUUGGUCUAAUGAACAAUAAUCAUCACUUCGCUAUGACCGAUACUCGUUUCUUGGUAUUUUAGGGCUAUAAAAUAGGAAUUUAGAAUGAUUUCUAAAUUUUCGAAUGCAAUUGUCCACACCAUCUAUAUGAACUCGGCAACUGGCUACGAAUCACCUAAAAUUUUGCAGACUCAUCAGAAAUCACCUAAAGAAUAAUACUUAUCGCUAUGCUAUGACCGUUCCUUAUUUUUUUUGACGUUUAGGGCCAUAAAAUGGGAGUUCAGCAUGAUUUUCAAAUUUUCAUGCGCUAUAAUCCAUACCAUCUGCAUGAAUUCGGGCAAACGACACCGAAUUGCCUAAAAUUUUGUGGGCCCAUCAGAAACGACCUAACGAACAAUAUUCAUUACUUUGUUGUGAUUGUUCCUCAUUUUCUGAUAUUUUAGGAUUAUAAAACAGAAAUUCACUGUGAUUUCUAAUUUUUUGUGUGCUUUAGUCCACGCCAUCUUCAUGAAUUCGAGAGACGGGUUCCGAAUUGCCUUAAAUUGUGGGCCCAUCAAAAAUGAACCAAUAAACAGUAGUAAUUGCUUCUCCAUCAAUGUUCCUCAUUUUGUUGGUGCUUUAGGGCCAUAAAACAAGAAUUCUGUUAUAAAAUAAUAAAAGAAGAAGAACAAUAUUGCAGAGAAAGAGAGAGUAAUUCUUAUUGAAUUUUGGGAUGAUUUACAAUGGGAUAAGACCCCUCUAUUUAUAGAGGAAAAAUGACUUAGCCACAAAGUAAAACUCUCUAAAAGAUAGACAUUUACUCUAAAUAGAAUUCUAUUCAUAACACUCCCCCUUGAAUGUCUACUCGAUAAGUAAUGUGCCUCAUUAAAACCUUAACUAAAAUAAAACCCAAUGGGAAAAAAUUCUAGAAAAGGAAAAAGAGUACACAUGUUUAAUAAUACGCCUUUUAGUUGCCUCGUUAAAAACCUUGCAAGAAAAACUCAGUGGGACAAAACCUUGUAAGAAAACAAGAGUGCAACGCGCAUUAACUCCCCCUGAUGAGAGCAUCAUUUCACAUCCUUGAGCCUUCGCAUCCCAAUCUUGUGUAUUAGCUUCUUGAAGAUUGACGUCGGUAGAGAUUUUGUGAACAAAUCAGCCAUAUUAUCACUUGAACGAAUCUAUUGCACAUUUAUAUCACCAUUCUUUUGAAGAUCAUGUGUGAAAAAUAACUUUGGUGAAAUGUGUUUUAUUCUAUCUCCUUUUAUGAAUCCUCCCUUCAAUUGAGCUAUGCAUGCUGCAUUAUCUUCAUACAAAAUUGUGGGUAACUUGUCACAUUUCAAACCACAUUUNNNNNNNNNNNNNNNNNNNNNNNNNNNNNNNNNNNNNNNNNNNNNNNNNNNNNNNNNNNNNNNNNNNNNNNNNNNNNNNNNNNNNNNNNNNNNNNNNNNNNNNNNNNNNNNNNNNNNNNNNNNNNNNNNNNNNNNNNNNNNNNNNNNNNNNNNNNNNNNNNNNNNNNNNNNNNNNNNNNNNNNNNNNNNNNNNNNNNNNNNNNNNNNNNNNNNNNNNNNNNNNNNNNNNNNNNNNNNNNNNNNNNNNNNNNNNNNNNNNNNNNNNNNNNNNNNNNNNNNNNNNNNNNNNNNNNNNNNNNNNNNNNNNNNNNNNNNNNNNNNNNNNNNNNNNNNNNNNNNNNNNNNNNNNNNNNNNNNNNNNNNNNNNNNNNNNNNNNNNNNNNNNNNNNNNNNNNNNNNNNNNNNNNNNNNNNNNNNNNNNNNNNNNNNNNNNNNNNNNNNNNNNNNNNNNNNNNNNNNNNNNNNNNNNNNNNNNNNNNNNNNNNNNNNNNNNNNNNNNNNNNNNNNNNNNNNNNNNNNNNNNNNNNNNNNNNNNNNNNNNNNNNNNNNNNNNNNNNNNNNNNNNNNNNNNNNNNNNNNNNNNNNNNNNNNNNNNNNNNNNNNNNNNNNNNNNNNNNNNNNNNNNNNNNNNNNNNNNNNNNNNNNNNNNNNNNNNNNNNNNNNNNNNNNNNNNNNNNNNNNNNNNNNNNNNNNNNNNNNNNNNNNNNNNNNNNNNNNNNNNNNNNNNNNNNNNNNNNNNNNNNNNNNNNNNNNNNNNNNNNNNNNNNNNNNNNNNNNNNNNNNNNNNNNNNNNNNNNNNNNNNNNNNNNNNNNNNNNNNNNNNNNNNNNNNNNNNNNNNNNNNNNNNNNNNNNNNNNNNNNNNNNNNNNNNNNNNNNNNNNNNNNNNNNNNNNNNNNNNNNNNNNNNNNNNNNNNNNNNNNNNNNNNNNNNNNNNNNNNNNNNNNNNNNNNNNNNNNNNNNNNNNNNNNNNNNNNNNNNNNNNNNNNNNNNNNNNNNNNNNNNNNNNNNNNNNNNNNNNNNNNNNNNNNNNNNNNNNNNNNNNNNNNNNNNNNNNNNNNNNNNNNNNNNNNNNNNNNNNNNNNNNNNNNNNNNNNNNNNNNNNNNNNNNNNNNNNNNNNNNNNNNNNNNNNNNNNNNNNNNNNNNNNNNNNNNNNNNNNNNNNNNNNNNNNNNNNNNNNNNNNNNNNNNNNNNNNNNNNNNNNNNNNNNNNNNNNNNNNNNNNNNNNNNNNNNNNNNNNNNNNNNNNNNNNNNNNNNNNNNNNNNNNNNNNNNNNNNNNNNNNNNNNNNNNNNNNNNNNNNNNNNNNNNNNNNNNNNNNNNNNNNNNNNNNNNNNNNNNNNNNNNNNNNNNNNNNNNNNNNNNNNNNNNNNNNNNNNNNNNNNNNNNNNNNNNNNNNNNNNNNNNNNNNNNNNNNNNNNNNNNNNNNNNNNNNNNNNNNNNNNNNNNNNNNNNNNNNNNNNNNNNNNNNNNNNNNNNNNNNNNNNNNNNNNNNNNNNNNNNNNNNNNGCCUACAAUUAAUUUACUACUACCAGAAAUUGUAGUAACAUCUGCCUUACACAUAUUUUUGAGUGAGAGAAAUAUUUUUUCUCUUUGAAUAUUGUAUGUGUCGUACAUGAAUCAACUAAACAAAUAUUUUUACAAUUGAAUUUGAUUCAAGUUUGUUUUGAGAGAUAUCUAUAUUUGCUUCACAUGGUUUCACAUACAAAAGAAAUAUACGAAUAAACAUUAGUAUUUUCAAAGAAAAGGAAAAGAAAACAAAGUUAAGUCAAUGAUUCAAUAAUGACUUUUAAAGUAAUUUCAAGCAAAUUUUGAUUUUGAUACAAACAAUUACGUAGAAAAAUAAUGCAGUCAUAUACUACUAAAAUCUUGUUAAGUAAAGCUUCAUUCGAUCUAGAUGGCUCGUAAACAGUAAUACAUUUUAAAAAGGUCUAAUUACUGAAUGUGUUUUUGUAUUAUCCACAGUUUAAUUUUCAAAGAUCAUGUUAAUAGAUAGUAACUAAAAAUUACAAAUUUAAUGAUUGUAAAAAAGAAAUAAAAACGGGUACUUCCCUGGGAUAUGUCACACUUCACUGCCACUCUUUCAAAAAAAAUUCAUUCAAUUCCUUUCUAGUUACAAUUCUCCCUCUAUUCCAAAAUUAGUAAAAGACAGUAAAUGCUCGCCCUCUCAGAAACGGAAUUUUAUCGGAAGCAAUUAUUUAUAAAAUCACAUGAAAUGUAUGUGUAUUUUUGCGGCGAGAUUUAUAAAAUAAAUAAUAUUGUUUUAUACUAAUGACUACUACUCAUGUAAAGAAUUGUAAUUACAUGAUGUUUAUUCACUAACUAUUAAAAAUAGGCAAACAUAAAAGUUGAACUACUCAAUCAUCUUUAACCACGGAUCCAUCACCGAUCAAGUGGUCUAUUUUUCCAUCAGGGUGCUCAAAGAAGUCUGCCAUAUCUAAGUGGGUGAUGUCAAAUUCAUUGUCAUAGACAAAGUUAGCUUUAGGGCCUUUGUUCUUUAGAGAUGCUUGAUAAAGCUCACCAAAUGUCUUGGUACACAAUAAAUAUUUAUCCAAUGGCAUUUUCCACCGCAACGAUAACAUUCGGUUUCUGAACCAUCUGCCUUUGGUUUCUCAUCUUUCCCUUUCCACUUUUGGUGGUUAUUUUUCUUUGGGAGGUGAUUAACACCAAGAAAAUUUCUUCCUUGUCCAUGGCCACGGCCACGACCAUGACCACGACCACGAAUAGGCCACGGCCUUGUCCACGCUUAGCAUAAUGGGAAUACACCUCAUCCACUUCAGGCAAUGGUGUAGACCCAGUGGGUCGAUUUUCGUGAUUUCUCAUGAGCAAAUCAUUGUUUCGCUCAGCCACAAGGAGAAGAGAAAUCAACUCAGAGUACUUUUUGAAACCUUUCUCUCUAUAUUGCUGUUGCAAGACCAUAUUGGAGUCAUGAAACAUUGUGAACGUUUUUUCAAGCAUAUCAUAAUCAGUGAUAAUAUCUCCACAGAGUUUCAAUUUAGAAGUAAUUCUGAACAUUGCAGAAUUAUAUUCAGAAACAGACUUAAAGUCUUGGAGCCUCAUAUGAGCCCAAUCAUAUCGUGCUUGUGGAAGAGUGACCAACUUUAAGUUGUCAUUUCUUUCCUUUAAGCCAUUCCACAAAACAAGUGGAUCUUUGACGGUAAGAUAUUCUAUUUUCAACCCUUCAUCAAGGUGAUGGCGCAAGAAAAUCAAGGCCUUAGCACAGUUUUGGGUGGAUGCUUUAGUUUUGUCUUUAAUAGCGUCUCCAAGACCCAUUGUAUCUAAAUGGAUUUUAGCAUCCAACACCCAUGUCAUAUAGUUCUUACCCGAAAUUUCAUGGGCAACGAACUUUCUUUUCAUAAUAUCAGUCAUAAUUAAAAGAGGAGAAUAGUUGUACCUUAACCUUCUUGAGACGGUAGAGUCUCAUGCUGAUAACGUAUUAUAAAACAAUAAAAGAAGAAGAACAAUAUUGCAGAGAAAGAGAGUAAUUCUUAUUGAAUUUUGGGAUGAUUUACAAUGGGGUAAGACCCCUCUAUUUAUAGAGAAAAAAUGACUUAGACACAAAGUAAAACUCUCUACAAGAUAGACAUUCACUCUAAAUAGAAUUCUAUUCAUAACAAAUUCAAGAUUAUUUUUAAUUUUUGGUGUGCUAUUGUCCACGCCUUCUUGAAUUCGGGUGACAGGUUCCGAAUCACCUAAAAUUUUGUGGGCCAGUCAAAAAUGACCUAAUGAACAAUAGUCACUACUUCACCAUGACCAUUACUCAUUUUUUAGCAUUUAGGUCCAUAAAAUAGGAACUCAUAAUGAUUUUUAUUUUUUCGUAUGCUAAUGUCCACGCCAUCAAUACGAAUUUGGGCGACGGGCUCCGAAUUGUCUAAAAUUUUCUAGGCCCAUAAAAAUAACCUAAUGAAUAAUUGUCAUCACUUAGCCAUGAGAGUUUCUUAUUUUUUGGCAUUUAAUUCCAUAAAGCAGGAAUUCAGGACGAUUUUUAAUUUUUCGUGUGCUAAUGUCCAUGCCAUCUGCAUGAAUUCUGUCAAGGGCUCCAAAUCGCCUAAACUUUAUGGGUCCAUCAUAAACGAGCCAUUGAAUAAUAUUUAUUCAUGUUCCUAGUUUUUUGGUAUUUUACGGCCAUAAAGCAGAAUUCAGAAUGAUUUCUAAUUUUGUAUGUGCUAGUGUUCACGCCAUCUUCAUGAAUUCGAGCGACGGGCUCCGAAUCACCUAAAAUUUUGUGGUCCCAUCAGAAAUGACCUAAUGAACUAUAGUCAUUUCUUAUCCAUGACUGUUCCUUGUUUUCGGUAUUUUAGGACCAUAAAAUAGGAAUUAAGGACGAUUUCCAAUUUUCGUAUGAUAAUGUCCACCCCAUCUUCAUGAACUACGAAGACGGGCUCCGAAUCACCUAAACUUUUAUAGACCGAUCAGAAAUGACAUAAUAAAUAAUAGUUAUUGCUUUUCUAUGAUUGUUUCUCAUUUUUUGGCGUUUUAGGGACAUAAAAGAGGAAUUUAGGAUGAUUUUUAAUUUUUUGUAUGCUCAUGUCCAUGCCAUCUUCGUGAAUUCAGGGGACAAUCUCUAAAUCGCCUAAUGUUUUCUGGAUCCAUCAGAAACUACAUAAUGAAAAAUAGUCAUUGCUUCUCAUGAAUGUUCCUCAUUUUUUAUGGGCAUAAAAUAAGAAUUCAUGACGAUUUCUAAUUUUUUGUGCUAAUGUCCACAACUUCUUCAUGAAUGUGGGCGACGAGCUCAAAAUCAUCUCAAAUUUUAUGGGCCCAUCAUAAACGACCUAACGAACAGUAUUAAUUUCUUUGCUAUGAGUCUACCUUAUUUUUGGCAUUUUAUGGCUAUAAAACAAGAAUUCAGGACUAUUUUCAAUUUUUCGUAUGCUAGUAGAUGCCAUCUUCAUAAAUUUGGGCAACGAGCUCCGAAUCGCCUAAAUUCUUUUGGGCCCAUAAAAAAUGAAUGAAUGAACAAUAGUCGUCACUUCUCCAUGAUCGUUCCUCAUUUUUGGCGUUUUAGGGCCAUAAAACAAGAAUUCACGAUGAUUUUCGAUUAUUCAUGUGCUAAUAUCCACACCAUCUUCAUGAAUUUAGGUGACGGGCUCUGAAUCACCUAAAAUUUUCUAGGCUCAUCAGACACGACCUAAUGAACAAUAGUCAUAACUUCGCAAUGACCAUUAUGUAUUAUUUGUCACUUUAGGGUCAUAAAACAAGAAUUCAAAAUGAUUUCCGAUUUUUUGUGUGCUAAUGUCCACGCCAUCUUCAUAAAUUCGGUUGACGGGCUCCGAAUCACCUAAAAUUUCUAGGCUCAUAAAAAAUUGCCUAAUGAACAAUAGUCAUAUCUUCGCAAUGACCCUUCCUCGUUAUGUAUCGUUUUGAGGCUAUAAAACAGGACUUCAGAAGGAUUUCCUAUUUUUUGUGUGCUAGUGUCCACGCCAUCUUCAUAAAUUCGGGCGACGGUCUUCAAAUCACCUAAAAUUUGGUGGACCCAUCAGAAACGGCCUAGUGAACAGCAGUCAUAACUUAUCCAUGGGUCUUCCUAAUUUUUUGGUGUGGCAGGGCUCUCAAACAGGAAUACAAGAUGAUUUCUAAUUUUUUUAUGUGCUAAUGUCUACGCCAUUUUUAUGAAUUUAGGCAAUGGACUCUAGAUCGGCAAAGAUUUUGUGAGACAUCAGAAACUACCAAAUGAACAAUAUUAAUUGCUUCUUCAUGAAUGUUUCUCAUUUUUGAUAUUUUAGGGCCAUAAAACAGGAAUUCGGGAUGAUUUUUUAUUUUUCAUUUUUCAUCUAAUAAUUUUUCAGGAAUUUAGGAUGCUCGUUCCUCAUUUUUUAGCGUUUUAGGGCAUUAAAACAAGAAUUCAGAAUGAUUCUUAAUUUUUUGUGUGCUAAUGUCCAUGCAAUCUUUAUGAAUUUCGGCGACGGGCUUCGGAUCUCCUAAAUUUUAUUGGCCCAUUUGAAAAGACAUAAUGAAUAAUGGUCAUUGCUUCACCAUAACCGUUCCUCAUUUUUGGCAUUUUAGGGCAUUAAAAUAGGAAUGCAGGAUGAUUUCCAAUUUUCGUCUGCUAAUGUCCAUGCCAUCUUCAUGAAUUCGGGCGAUGGUCUUCGAAUUGCCUAUAAUUUUGCGGGCCCAUUGAAAAAAGCCUAGUGAAUAAUAGUCAUUGCUUCGGCAUGACAGCUCCUCAUUUUUUGGUAUUUUACGGCCAUUAAAUGGGAAUUUAGCACAUUUUUAAAUUUUUCGUAUGCUAAUAUCCACGCCAUUUUUAUGAAUUCGGGUGACGGGCUCUGAAGAGCAAAAUUUUUGUCAUCCCAUCAGAAAUAACCUAAUAAACAAUAGUCAUUGAUUUACCAUGGUCGUUCCUCAUUUUUCGGCAUUUUAGGUAUAAAAUAAGAAUUUAGGAUGAUUUUCGUGUUUUGGUAUGAUAAUAUCCACGCCAUCUUAAUGAAUACGGGAGAUGGGCUUUGAAUCGCCUAAAGUUUUUAGGCCCAUAAGAAACAACCUAAUUAACAAUAGUCAUCGCUUCGCCAUGAUCGUUCCUCAAUUUUUGGUAAUUUAGGGCCAUAAAAUAGGAAAUCAGAACGAUUUUAAAUUUUCCAUGUGCUAAUAUCCACACUAUCUUCAUGAAUUCUGGCGUUGGUCUCCGAUUUGCCAAAUUUUUGUUCAUCGAUCAGAAACGAUCUAAUAAAAUAUAGUCAUCACUUUUCCAUGAUUGUUCCUCGUUUGUUGGCAUUUUAGGACCAUAAAACAUGAAUUUAGGAGGAUUUCUUAUUUUUCGUGUGCUAAUGUCCAUGUCAUCUUAUGAAUUCGGGCAACGAGCUCCAAAUCACAUAAAAAAAAUCGGACCCACUAGAAACGGCCUAAUGAAUAAUGGUCAUCACUUCACCAUGCGUGUUUCUCAUUUCUUGGCAUUUUAUGGCCAAAAACUAGGAAUUCAAGAUGAUUUCUAAUUUUUCAUGUGCAUCCUCAUGAAUUCGAAAAACGGAUUGUGAAUCGCCUAAAAUUUUGUGGGCCCAUCAUAAAUGACCUAAUGAACAAUUUUCAUUGCUUUGCCAUGACUGUUCCUCGUUUGUUGGAAUUUUAGGGAUAUAAAAUUAGAAUUCAGGAUUAUUUUCAACUUUUCGUGUGCUAAUGUCCACGUCAUCUUCAACUAGGCGAUGGGAUCCGAAAUACCUAAAAGAUUAUGGGUCCAUCAGAAAUGACCCGAUGAACAAUAGUCAUUGUUUCUACAUGAAUGUUUCUUAUUUUUUGUCGUUUUAGGGCCAUAAAAUAAGAAUUCUUGAUGAUUUCUAAUUUUCGUAUGCUAAUGUCCACACCAUCUUCAUGAAUUAGGGCAGCAGACUGUGAAUCGUCUAAAAUUUUAUGAGCCCAUAAGAAACAACCUAAUGAAUAAUAGCCACUGUUCGUCAUGACCAUUCCUUGUUUAUUUGCAUUUUAGAGCCAUAAAAUUGGAAUUCAUGAUGAUUUCCAACUUUUCAUGUGCUUAUGUUUAAUUCAUCUUUAUGAAUUCGGGUGAGGGGCUCAGAAUUGCCUAAACUUUUGUGGGCCAAUCAAAAACGAUCUAAUAAAUAAUAGUCAUCGCUUGGCCAUGUACUAAUACACACGAAAAACGUAAAUAUAAUCAUAAAUUUGUUUUGCAUGACCCUAAAAUACUAAAAAAUGAACCCGAAAGUCGUGGAGAAAUAUUGGUCACUAGUUCUUUUCCUAUUGACCUACGAAAUUUCAGGCCAAUUGGAGUUCGUUAAAAAAUAAUUACAGAAUCAUGCACUAAUACACAUGAAAAAAUAGUUAUAGUUUGUGUUGCACGACCCUAAAAUGCCAUAAAAUGAACCCGAAAGUCAUGGUAAAGCAAUCACUAUUGCUCACUAGGUCAUUUAUUAUGGACUUACAAAGUUCCAAGCUAACCGGAUUCCAUCAAAAAUAAUUUUACUAAAUUAUUACGUAAUAAUAUACACGAAAAAGUGAUUAUAAUCACAUAUUUGUGUUGCAUGACCUUAAAACACCAAUAAAAUGAACCCAAAAGUCAUGGAUAAGCGAUAAGUAUUGGUCACUAGGCCGUUUUUUAUGGACCUACGGAAUUUCAGGCUAAUUAGAGUUUGUCAAAAAAAUUCUACAGAAUCAACAUGUAUUAAAAUACAUACAAAAAAGUUGAUAUAAUCAUAAAUUUGUGUUGUAAGACCCUGAAACGCCAUAAAAUGAACCUGAAAGUCAUUGUAUAGCAAUUAAUAUUGGUCACUAGGACGUUUCUUAUAGACUUACGAAAUAUCAGGACAAUCGGAGUCCGUCAAAAAAAUUCUGCAGAAUUAACAUCUAUUGAUAAACAUGAAAAAAAUCGAUAUAAUAAAUUUGUAUUGCAUGAUCCUAAAACAUCAUAAAAUAAACCUGAAAGUCAUGGGAAGCAAUUAGUAUCGGUCAUGAAACCAUUUCCUAUGGACCUACAAAAUUUCAAACCAAUCGGAAUCCGUUAAAUAUUUUAUAUAGAAUCAUUAUGUAUUAAUAUACAUGAAAAAGUAGAUAUAAUCAUAAAUAUGUAUUACAUGACCCCAAAAUACCAAAAACUAAACCGGAAAGUCAUGGCGAAGUGAUAGGUAUUAGUCACUAGGACUUUUCAUAUGGACCUAUGAAAUUUUAGGCUAGUCGGAUUGCGUCAAUUUUUUUUUUACAAAAUUAGCAUUUACUAAUACACACGAAAUAGUGGUUUUAGUCACAAAUUUGUGUUGCAUGACCCUGAAACGCCAUAAAAUAAACCCGAAAGUCAUGGUGAGGCGAUAAUUAUUGUUCACUAGGGUGUUUCCUAUGGACCUAUAAAAUUUAAGGCCAAUCAGAGUUCGCCAAAAAAAAUCUACAGAAUCAGCAUGUAUUAAUACAUAAAAAAAAGUGGUUAUAAUCACAAACUUAUGUUGCAUGACCCUAAAACGCCAAAAAAUAAACCCGAAAGUUAUGGCGAAGCAAUUGCUAUUAGUCACUAGCUCAUUUUCUAUGAACAUACAAAAUUCAGGCCAAUCAGAUUUCGUCAAUUUUUUUUACAAAAUCAGCAUGUCCUAUUAUACAUGAAAAAGUGAUUAUAAUCACAAAUUUGUGUGCAUGACCUUGAAACACCACAAAGUAAACCCGAAAAUUAUGGGGAAGCAAUUAGUAUUGGUCACUAGGCCAUUUUUUAUGGACCUACAAAAUUUUAGGCUAAUUGGAGUCUGUUAAUAAAUUUUACAGAAUCGGCAUGUACUAAUACACAAGAAAAAAUGAAUUAAUCACAAAUUUAUGUUACAAGACCUUGAAACGCCAUAAAAUGAAUCCAAAAGUCAAGGUGUAGCAAUUAAUAUUGAUCACUAGGUCAUUUUCUAUGGACAUACGAAAUUUCAGGUCAAUCGGAGUCCGUCAAAAAAAAAUUCGUAAUGUACUAAUAUACACGAAAAUAAAUAGUCACAAAUUUGUAUUGUAUGACCCUGAAAUACCAUAAAAUGAACCCGAAAGUCAUGAAGAAGCGAUAAGUAUUGGUCACUAUGCCGUUUCUUAUGGACCUACGAAAUUUCAGGCUAAUCGGAGCCCGUCAAAAAAAUUCUACAGAAUCAGCAUAUACUAAUACACACCAAAAGGUGAAUAUAAUCACAAAUUUGUGUUGCAUGAUCCUGAAACACCAUAAAAUGAACCUUAAAGUCAUGAAGAAUCAAUUUGUAUUGGUCACUAGGUCGUUUCCUUUGGACCUACAAAAUUUUAGACUAAUCGGAGUCCAUCAAAUUUUUUUUACAGAAUCAACACAUACUAAUAUAUAGAAAAAAGUGGAUAUAGUCAUAGAUUUGUGUUUCAUGACCCUGAAACAUCAUAAAAUGAACCCAAAAUUCAUGGCGAAACAAUUAUUGUUAUUCACUAGGCCUUUUCCUAUGAUCCUAUAAAAUUUCAGGCUAAUUCAGAAUCCGUUAAAAUAAUCUACAGAAUCAGAAUAUACUAAUACACAUGAAAAAUGGAUAUCACAAAUUUAUAUUGCAUAAUCCCGAGGCAACAUAAAAUGAAUCUGGAAGUCAUGGAAAAGCAAUUAGUAUUGGACAUUAUGUCGUUUCCUAUGGACCUAUAGAAUUUCAAGCCAAUCGAAGUUCAUUAAAUUUUUUUAGAAAGUGAGCAUGUGCUAAUAUACACGUAAAAGUAAAUAUAAUAAAAAAUAUGUGUUGUAUGACCUUGAAACACCAUAAAAUGAAACCGAAAGUCAUGGCGAAGCAAUUAGUACUGAUCAUUAGGUCGUUUGCUAUGGACCUACGAAUUUCAGGUAAAUCAGAGUCUGUCAAAAAAUAUUCUACAAAAUCAAUAUGUAGUAUACAUAUACAAAAAUUUGGAUAUAAUCAUAAAUUUGUAUUUCUUGAUCGUGAAACACCAUAAAAUGAACCCGAAAUUCAUGGAGAAUUAAUUCGUAUUGGUCAUUACGCCAUUUCCUAUGGACCUAUGAAAUUUCAAGACAAUCGGAAUGCGUCAAUUUUUUUUUUUACAAAAUCUGCAUGUACUGUGACAAACAAAAAAAUGGACAUAAUCACAAAUUUGUGUUGCAUGACGCUGUAAUAUCAUAAAAUGAACCUGAAAGUCAUGGCUUAGAAAUUAGUAUUGGUCUAGGCCAUUUCCUAUGAACGUACAAAAUUUCAGGCCAAUUGGAAUCCGUCAAAAAAUUCUAUAGAAUCAACAUAUAUUAAUACACAUUAAAAAUAGAUAUAAUCAUAAAUUUGUGUUGUAUGACCUUAAAACACAAAAAAAUAAAUUUAAAAGUCAUUGUGAAGCAAUAAAUAUCGGUCACUAGCCUAUUUUCUAUGUACCUACGAAAUUUCAGGCCAAUCAGAAUCCGUGAAAAAUUUCUAAAAUCAGCAUGUACUAAUAUAUACGAAAAAAGCGAAUAUAACCAUAAAUUCGUAUUGCAUGACUCCAAAACACCAUAAAAUGAACCCGAAAGUCAUGGUGAAGUAUUGAGUAUUGGUCACUAAGUUGUUUUCUAUGGACCUACUAAAGUUCAGGCCAAUUCGUCAAAAAACUUCUACUAAAUUAGCAUGUACUAAUACACACUAAAAAUUGGAUAUAAUCAUAAAUUCGUAUUGCACGAUCCCAAAUUAUCAUUAAAUGAACCCAAAACGCCAAAAAUCGAUAUUAGUUAUGGCGAAGCGAUAAGUAUUUGUCACUAGGCCGAUUUCUAUUAACCUACAAAAUUUCAGGCUAAUCGAAGUCCGUCAAAAAGAAUUCUACAAAAUCAGCAUAUACUAAUAUACAUAAAAAAGUGAAUAAUUAUAAAUUUGUAUUGCAUGACCCCAAAAAUCUUGGGAAAGCAAGGAGUAUUGCUCACUAGGUCAUUUCCUAUGGAUGUACAAAAGCCAAUCGCAGUCCAACAAAAAGUUUCUACAAAAUCAACAUGUUACUCAUACAUAUAAAAAAGUGGAUAUAAUUAAAAAUUCAUGUUUCAUGACCCCAAAGCGUCAUUAAAUGAACCCGAAGCGCUAAAGAAAUGAUGUUAGUCGUGGUGAAGCGAUGAUUAUUAUUGUUCAUUAGGCCGUUUUCUAUGGACCUACAAAAUUUCAGGCCAAUCGAAGUCCGUCAAAAAUUCUACAGAAUCAGCAUCUACUAAUACACACAAAAAAGUGGGUAUAAUAAUCAAUUUCUUUUGCUAGAAUCCAAAAUACCAAAAAAAAAAAAAAUCCGAAUGUUUUGGCGAACCGAUAAGUAUUAGUCACUAGGCCAUUUCCUAUGGACCUACGAAGUUUCAGGCCAAUCGUCCAUGAAAACAAUCAUACAGAAUUAGUAUGUACUAAUACACACGAAAAGUGGAUAUACUUAUAAUUUUUUACAGCAACUAAGAAGAAAAAGAAGAAAAAGCCUGAAAUUGUCUGUACUAAUUAAACAUUUUUUAAAAAGUGGAUACAAGUUAUAGGUCCUAGAAACAUCCUCUUUACCUUCUUUAAGUAGGGUUAAGGUUUCCAUAUAUUUUACCUUCCCAAGACCUUAUUACUGAUAUUGCACUUUAUUGUUAGGUACAAAUUAAAUAGAGCGACCAAAUAAGAUAUCCCGUCAAUUUUUUACGGUACUUUUUAUGACUAGUAACUCCGUCCUCGAUGAGAUUUGUGAAUAUUGUAUGGACUAGAUUGUUCGGUUCAAUCAACAAUGUGUCCAAAAUUCCAUGGUCCUACUUAUCUCAUUUUGACGAUUUUUCUCUUGUUUGAUAUCUACAUCUAAAGUUACAAUCUUCAAAUUUUACUGUCUACCUCCUAAAUAUCUUACUUGGGUUAAUAUACGAUAGCAUCUUUCGAGGCGGAACUAGACGAUUACCUAUGUGUUCGGUAAAAUUUAAUAACUUUAGUUUAAAUUUAAUAUUUGUAUUAAAAAGUUCUUUAAAUAUGUACAAAAAUAUUUCCAUAAAGUUUCUCUUAUAACACACACAAACAAACGAUUUCAAUAAAGUAAAUUAGACAAGAUUAAUAAAGAUUGAAAAAUAAGUCCACUUAAAGAUAAAAAUUUACUUGGUUCUUCACUUCUUUGCAACAAAUGACAUUGAUACAAUAAUACACUGAAAUAAUUUCAUAAAUAAAUCGCUAUUCAAAAAUAGCACAAUCCACAAAGAUACAAUUUUGAGGGAAGGGGAAGAGAAAAUAAAUCAAGAAGCUCGACAUCCUCUCAUGUCGAUCCAUGCAAUUACUCCUUCAAAUCUUAGCUUGAAACCUGUAAUUUAGACAUAAUUUAUGAUUAAUGAGUUUAAGUUCCUUAUCUAAAAAUUUUAUUUAAAAAAAAACAACAAAAAAAGAAUAUUGCCGACAAUUACUUCACAAAAAAUCUUAAAAUUAUAAGGUUACUACUACUCAGACCUCUACAUUAUUAAUGGGAAAAUGAUACUGUAUAGCCACUCUCAAAAUAAUAGCCAAACAAAUGUAUAGUUUUUGUAUAUAUAUAUAUAUACAUUCUAUAUGUUAUAUACAAAAAUUAUACAAAUUUUAUACACUUUAUCAGCUACUGAAUAUAAAUAAUUUUUGGCACGGAUUAAAGUGAUAAUACCCCUACGUUAAUUCACCCUAAUAUUAAGAUCCACUUGACCGAAAAAUCUAGCUUCUAAUCUAGUUAUAAAUGAAGAAAAUAAUAACUAUCCUAGUCCCAAUGGUCUUGGUUUUGUAAAUUGACCUACAAUACAAUAAUAGGUAAUAACUAUUAUAUAAACUAUAAUGUCAGAGUAAAAAUCUACUACCCCUCCGUUCACUUUUAUUUGGCAUGUAUACUAAAAAUAAAUUUUCAUUUUUACUUGUCACCUUUACGCAUAUCAAGAGAAGACAAAUUUUUUUCCUGUUAUACCCACAGUAUUUAUUACUCAUUUCAAAUCAUUUUCUCAAAUCCAAUAAAAUAUGCAUCAAUUAAUAUGGGUAUCAUAGUAAAUUAUGCAUUUCAUUUAUUAUUUCUUAAGGGGCGUGAAAAAUCAAAAUAUGCCAAGUAAAAGUGAACGGAAGAAGUACUAAUCAAUCAAUAUGCAUUAAUAGUGUAAUUCUUUUACACUGUCAAGGCAUAAAUAAGUUAAAACCUUGUACUAUAUCGAAUAGUACUAACGUACAACAAUCAUUCUACAUGAUUUUCUUUUUUCUUUUUUUUUUGGCCAAAAUGUUUUUCCACUGGCAUUACCAAUUUUUUAUUAAAAAGUCGAGUUAUGCAAUCAACUUUUUCCUCAAAAUAGGAACAAAAGCAAACUAGCAUACAAUGCAGCCAGAAGUUUUUAAGGUGAGGUUAUGGGAAAAUUAAAGGAUUUCACUUACGAGUUUAACUUAUAUACUAAUAAUGUAAUCAUGAUUUUCUAUACUAUUAAUGUAUUUUAACUUGUCAUAAUAGGUCAUUACUUUGUUAUAUAGAUAAUUUUAACCCGAUAAUGUUAAAACGUUAUAUACUGUCAACGUAGAUAAGUUAAGCUUUAUGAAAAAAAGGUAUAUAUACUUAACUUAAAUCUAGAGAGAGCAAGUGUAGCCAGGUGGUGGAGUCUUUCCACAGGUAACAAGGAGCUGAAGAGCAAGAGGGACAAAGAUUUUUAGGUUAAGAAGCUUGACUUUAAGUGUUGUACAAAGGCAAGCAGCAGCUUCAAGUUCAACAAGUCCAUGUAAAAUUGGACAACAUUCAUUGACAGCAGGGUCACCAAUUCCAAUAUGAACUAGACCACCAAGAAGAUCUACACAAGCUCCAAGUUUUAGUGUGUCAAUUGGGCAUGUUGCCUUUGUUGUUGGUGGUGGAGGGCAUGGUUUUCCUUUAGGGGAUGGUGUAAUAACUGGUGGAACUGUCACGGGUGGAAUUCCGAUAGGUGGCAAGUUAAUAGGAGGUUUUACAAUAGGUGGUAAACCAAUUGGUGGCUUCAGAACUGGUGGAACUGUCACUGGUGGAAUUCCGAUAGGUGGCUUAAUAACGGGUGGAACGACGGGCGGCAAGUUGAUGGGAGGUUUUACAACUGGUGGAACUGUAACUGGUGGAAUUCCGAUAGGUGGCUUAAUAACUGGUGGAACAACUGGUGGCAAGUUGAUGGGAGGUUUUACAACUGGUGGAACUGUCACUGGUGGAAUUCCGAUGGGCGGCUUAAUAACUGGUGGAACAACAGGUGGCAAGUUGAUAGGUGGUUUUACAAUCGGUGGAAUUCCAAUGGGUGGCAAGUUGAUAGGGGGUUUAAUACUUGGAGAGGGAGUUUUGGGUUUUUUGGGUUUGUGAGAGGGUUUUCCACAAUAUCCACAACCAAGAAUGGGAGUGAAUGAAGAAAGGAAAAGCAUGGAAAUGAAAAGAAGACAUGUUAUUUUAGAUGACUCCAUUUUCCUAUGAGGAAAGAGGGAAUAGGUUGAGAUUUUGGUACAAAGAGUAUGGUGUUAUAUAGAUAUGAAAGUGAAUUGAU
rnacentral:lncRNA from 1 species